rnacentral:rRNA from 1 species
UCCGAAGGGAGCUAGCGUUGUUCGGAAUCACUGGGCGUAAAGCGCACGUAGGCGGAUGUGUCAGUCAGGGGUGAAAUCCUGGAGCUCAACUCCAGAACUGCCUUUGAUACUGGCGAGCUUGAGUCCGGGAGAGGUGAGUGGAACUGCGAGUGUAGAGGUGAAAUUCGUAGAUAUUCGCAAGAACACCAGUGGCGAAGGCGGCUCACUGGCCCGGUACUGACGCUGAGGUGCGAAAGCGUGGGGAGCAAACAGG